rnacentral:rRNA from 1 species
AUUGAACGCUGGCGGCAGGCCUAACACAUGCAAGUCGAACGAGUGGCGGACGGGUGAGUAAUGUCUGGGAAACUGGAGAAUGGAGGGGGAUAACUACUGGAAACGGUAACUAAUACCGCAUACACUCGGAUGUGCCCAGAUGGGAUGAGCUAGUAGGUGGGGUAAAGGCUAACCUAGGCGACGAUCCCUAGCUGGUCUGAGAGGAUGACCAGCGACACUGGAACUGAGACACGGUCCAGACUCCUGCGGGAGGCAGCAGUGGGGAAUAUUGCACAAUGGGCGCAAGCCUGAUGCAGCCAUGCCGCGUGUAUGAAGAAGGCCUGCGGGUUGUAAAGUACUGUCAGCGGGGAGGCGUUACCCGCAGAAGAAUCACCGGCUAACUCCGUGCCAGCAGCCGCGGUAAUUC